rfam:TPA: Bos taurus chromosome 19, whole genome shotgun sequence.
UCCCUCGUGGUCCAGUGGCUAAGACUCUGAGCUCCCAAAGCAGGGGCCCAGGUUCGAUCCCUGGUCUGGGAA